AUCAGCUUGAGGAUGGUCGUCAACCCGCAAUGCUGUAAAUUAACAAGAAGGUUUUUAUAUACAUAUACAGAGGUGCGUAGUUGCGUGUUUCUCAACGUUUACACCGAGAUGUAUGUCUGCAUGUACAUUGAGAGAUGUGAAUAUUUGUAUAUAUAAUGAAAAAUGUAUAUCUCUGAAUGCUUAUACAGAAUGAGGAAUAUAUUUAAGUUGUACAAGAGGCGUGUAUCUUAGUAUUCAUAUACAGAAUUUACUUUUAUUCUCAUUUCAAAAGUUAAAAGCAUUCUUGACUGGAGAUACACAGGUGACACAGCCUUAAUGAACCUUUGUAGUUACCAGGCUAUAUAUAAAUCAAAUAACCCAACAAUCCAACUAACAAACAAGGAUACCUAGAUCGCAUAAGCAUUGAAUUCAGUUAUGCGUGUGCCAACACCGCAUUCUCGCCUCGAUGUAUGUAACCUCUGCCUCUUCAGCAUGGUUAUGCGUGUACCUCUGGAGUUAAUGAGGCAAGUGUGUCCUUGGGAGUUGCCGUUGUAACCAAUGUACAUAGCAUCGCCUGGUGUCAGAUGUUAAUAUUGAAACGGUAAUAGUAAUUAGUAAUGCUAGUGCUUACAACAGCGUUUGUUCAGAAUUUCUUGUUCAUGGAAACUCAAAUGUUCAACAGUUGUGCUGAUAAAAAUACCGUUGAUAAAUAAUGGUCAAGAAAAGUGUUGCUAAUAAGUGUUGCUAGAAACUCGUGCUAAUAAGUGUUGAUAAAGAUAUUGUUAAGGAAAGUGUGUGUUGCUUGAAAAAAGUUGAUAAAAUUAUUGGUAACUAAUUUUAAGUGUUGCUGACAAGUAAAUGUUCAUGUCAUGAAUGUUCAUGACCAAUGUUGAGGUCAGGUUAUAAUUUAGUAGGAGUUUCCUUCGUUACACCUGAUUAAGUUCGGAGAAGUUGGUGGGCCCCAGAGCCACCUGGACCCUGGCACCACCUGGACAUUGGCACCAUCUGGCCCACCACCACCUGGCUACGCAAGUCAUCCACGCAUAAUCUACCGUCAUGGGAAGCACACUGUGUAACAAUGGAGAUGCUGCACUCGUAAUCUGCUGUGGUUUCAGCACACUUCUGGAAAGACGGCGAUUGAAUGAUGGCGAAUGUGUUUUUUUUCCUUGGGUCACCCUGCCUUGGAGAUGAAAUAGAAAAAUGCAGGAUUUAUGCAGAAAGUAAGUGAAAGCUAACUCAUCGCGGGACAGUUGGCUCACCAUCAGGAAGGUAGUCGCCCUGUUUCGAUAGACGUGUUGAAGAUUGUUGCUAGUGGUACACACAGCGCCUCUACUCCCUCUAAAAGGACCCAUGGAGAGAUAUCCGGCCCCAUCGCCUUUGAGGUAUCCAGCUCGCUUAGCAGCCUCUUCACUUCUACCUCGGUUAUGUAUUGUCCAAAAUUUCAUGGUGUACCCCCACCUCUUCAACUUUCCGGAGUCCCUUCUGUCUCCUCUGUGAAUACUUCUAUGAAAUUCAUGUUGAGCUCCUCACAUACUUCGCGGUCGUUUCUUGUGAUCUCCCCUCCUUUCUCAGCCUGAUUACGUAGUCCUUGGCUGUUACUUUUCUCCUGAUAUGGCUGUACAACAUUUUCAGGUCAGAUUUGCCUUUCGCUGUUAUGUUAUUUUCGUAUUGUCGUUGGGAUUCCCUUCAAACCUGUGCAUAUUUACUUCUGGUUCUACGACUGCUCUCCUUAUUCUCCUGGGUCCUUUGCCUUGUGUACUUUUAUUCCGUGUGUGUUGUGUGUGUGUGUGUGUGUGUGUGUGUGUGUGUGUGUGUGUUUGUAGCAUAUUACAUAUUGUAAGAAGUACAGAGACUGAGUCAUAACUGAUUACUACAGAAUAUUUGCCUUAUGAAAAGUUUCCUAUGCAAAGUGUUUCUUUACAUAGCCAUUAUAAACUGUUCACUGCAUAGUCCUUCAUCCAUCCAUAAAUAUUUGACACUUUAUUAAAGUGUUCUGAGUAAUAUCAGAACGACAGAGCACAAUGUUACUGACAUCUGAUGUCAUAGUUAAUUAACACUUUCUAGCAUUACUCAAGUAUUCAUCAUUUAUUUUUCUGAAUCACUUCAGAAUACUUAACUCAGAAAAAAAAUGAUCUUCAUUACUUUAAGAUGUUUAGUUUUUUUUUUUUAUCCCCGAGAAUUUUGUUAUUUUUGAGGUGGUGAAUCAGUGAAAAUGUGAAAAACUAAAUACGACUUAUUCAUUUGUACAAUUACAGAUUUUACAGGUUAAUGUUCAACUUUCACGAUGAAUUUUAAGAGUACCUUACCUGGCUUAUCUACAAGUUCCUCACAUUUGUCACUUCACAUAUUCAAAUCUUUCACAAAAGAUGUCACUGAAAUAUUGUAAAUUAACAUUCUCAGCAGAGGACUGAAAAGGACACUGGCUGGCGAAAA